rnacentral:lncRNA from 1 species
GUCUGCAGCGGAUCCCCAUCGUGUGCUCUUCGGUAUUGAUCAAGUCAUUGGUAUGUAAGAGUGUAGAAGUCAUCUAGGACGUUAGGUCGUAUUAGGAGUUAUGAAAUACCUCGGUGUGUUAGUAUAUUGGUGAUUAGGUACUUGUAUUGACUUAUGCUAUGUUUGAGUGUUGUACAAGUUUUAACCACGUAUUGCUAUGCUUCUAAAGUAAUGGACAGAUUGGGAAGCAUAAUUAAGGAUUGAGGUAGACCCUUAGGUAGAGGUCUAGUCUUAUGUAGGAACAUGAUCUUUUGAGGAUGAAGUUAGUUGGAAAGAGAAUUGAUCUCACAACUCAAGGAUGAUAGGAGUGUGAGAGAUUAUGAGAUAGAGUUCUCAAGACUAUGGGUUUAGGAGACGAAUGGAUGUUAACUUUAGCAAGGUGUAAGGAAUAGAGGUGUCUUAUCGGCCUUAAGACUUUUCUUACUAAGGCGAAGUGUGAUACUAGAUGACCUAAUCCCUUGAUGUGUUGUGACAGGCUGUGCUUGAUGUGUAUAGUAGACUUUUGCGUGUGACUUCUUUUUGUAAAGUGUUGUUCUAUGUGGUAUGUUGCAUGAUGCAUUUUUCAUUGUUUAACAGAUGAGUCUUUUACCACUUUGUUAAUGUU